ACAUCAAGUGAACAGUUUGCCAAUAUAGGUUCGGAUAUUAUGGCCCGAACGUUUCUACCGAACGCCCAGUUUCGACUAUUGGUUGAAAAUCGCAGUAU
rnacentral:ncRNA from 2 species